rnacentral:rRNA from 1 species
UAGACGCUGGCGGCAGGCUUAACACAUGCAAGUCGAACGAUGACUCUCUAGCUUGCUAGNAGAUGAUUAGUGGCGGACGGGUGAGUAACAUUUAGGAAUCUGCCUAGUAGUGGGGGAUAGCUCGGGGAAACUCGAAUUAAUACCGCAUACGACCUACGGGUGAAAGGGGGCGCAAGCUCUUGCUAUUAGAUGAGCCUAAAUCAGAUUAGCUAGUUGGUGGGGUAAAGGCCCACCAAGGCGACGAUCUGUAACUGGUCUGAGAGGAUGAUCAGUCACACCGGAACUGAGACACGGUCCGGACUCCUACGGGAGGCAGCAGUGGGGAAUAUUGGACAAUGGGGGCAACCCUGAUCCAGCCAUGCCGCGUGUGUGAAGAAGGCCUUUUGGUUGUAAAGCACUUUAAGCAGGGAGGAGAGGCUAAUGGUUAAUACCCAUUAGAUUAGACGUUACCUGCAGAAUAAGCACCGGCUAACUCUGUGCCAGCAGCCGCGGUAAUACAGAGGGUGCGAGCGUUAAUCGGAAUUACUGGGCGUAAAGCGAGUGUAGGUGGCU